rnacentral:rRNA from 1 species
CACCUACGGGACGCAGCAGUGGGGAAUAUUGCACAAUGGGCGAAAGCCUGAUGCAGCAACGCCGCGUGAGCGAUGAAGGCCUUCGGGUCGUAAAGCUCUGUCCUCAAGGAAGAUAAUGACGGUACUUGAGGAGGAAGCCCCGGCUAACUACGUGCCAGCAGCCGCGGCAAUACGUAGGGGGCUAGCGUUAUCCGGAAUUACUGGGCGUAACGGGUGCGUAGGUGGUUUCUUAAGUCAGAGGUGAAAGGCUACGGCUCAACCGUAGUAAGCCUUUGAAACUGGGGAACGUGAUUGCAAGUGAGGAG